rnacentral:rRNA from 1 species
UACAGAGGUCUCAAGCGUUGUUCGGAAUUACUGGGCGUAAAGCGAGUGUAGGCGGUUUGGUAAGUCGGAUGUGAAAGCCCCGGGCUCAACCCGGGAAGUGCACUCGAUACUGCCAAGCUAGAGUAUCGGAGAGGUUGGUGGAAUUCUCGGUGUAGAGGUGAAAUUCGUAGAUAUCGAGAGGAACACCGGUGGCGAAGGCGGCCAACUGGACGAAUACUGACGCUGAGACUCGAAAGCGUGGGGAGCAAACAGG